rnacentral:rRNA from 1 species
ACUCAAAUGAAUUGACGGGGGCCCGCACAAGCGGCGGAGCAUGUUGCUUAAUUCGACGCAACGCGAAGAACCUUACCAAGGUUUGACAUGGACCGAAAACUCAUGGAGACAUGGGGUCCUUCGGGGCGGUUCACAGGUGGUGCAUGGCUGUCGUCAGCUCGUGUCGUGAGAUGUUGGGUUAAGUCCCGCAACGAGCGCAACCCUCGUCCCAUGUUGCCAGCGGGUUAUGCCGGGGACUCAUGGGAGACUGCCGGGGUCAACUCGGAGGAAGGUGGGGAUGACGUCAAGUCAUCAUGCCCCUUAUGUCUUGGGCUGCAAACAUGCUACAAUGGCCGGUACAGAGGGCUGCGAGCCCGCGAGGGUAAGCGAAUCCCGGAAAGCCGGUCUCAGUUCGGAUCGGGGUCUGCAACUCGGCCCCGUGAAGUCGGAGUCGCUAGUAAUCGCGGAUCAGCAACGCCGCGGUGAAUACGUUCCCGGGCCUUGUACACACCGCCCGU